GAUUAUGAUAGAGAGCUGUGUUUCACAGUCAAUAGGACCACUGGACAACAAAGUGCUGAUUCAUGCUCGUGAAGAUGAGACAGUUACUCUCUCCUGCAAGUAUGAAUAUAGUACUACUCCUAAUAGUCUGCAGUGGUAUCGUCAGUAUACUGGAUCCAGACCAGAGUACUUACUGCUGAAAUAUCCAGGAUCAGCUGAUGUGACCCGUGCAGAUCCUACUUUCUUACGCCUGGAUGCUACAGACAAUAACAACAACUGGACACUCUCAAUCUCCUCUGCUGAAGUAUCAGACUCUGCACUCUACUACUGUGCCAUGGAGCCCACAGUGACAGGAAACCCAGCUACACUGUACAAAAACUCAUUGCAGGAUGCCUUGUGUGUUGGGAAGCUACCAGAAGAAGGCAGCUUUAGUCUAGAUUUGCUGGAGUGAAGUGAGUUAUUCAUUAAAAGAUGCUGAAAUGAGGGACCAAGUAAAACAGCCAUGAGAGGAAAUCUCAUGUUCAGUUCAGUUGUGGGUCUUCUUAGAUCAUCUGUAGCUUCUGGAUUUGAAUUUGUGGCUCUCCUUUAAAAUGAGUGGCACU